rnacentral:rRNA from 1 species
GACGAACGCUGGCGGCGUGCCUAAUACAUGCAAGUAGAACGCUGAAGAGAGGAGCUUGCUCUUCUUGGAUGAGUUGCGAACGGGUGAGUAACGCGUAGGUAACCUGCCUUGUAGCGGGGGAUAACUAUUGGAAACGAUAGCUAAUACCGCAUAACAAUGAGUGACACAUGUCAUUUAUUUGAAAGGGGCAAUUGCUCCACUACAAGAUGGACCUGCGUUGUAUUAGCUAGUAGGUGAGGUAACGGCUCACCUAGGCGACGAUACAUAGCCGACCUGAGAGGGUGAUCGGCCACACUGGGACUGAGACACGGCCCAGACUCCUACGGGAGGCAGCAGUAGGGAAUCUUCGGCAAUGGGGGCAACCCUGACCGAGCAACGCCGCGUGAGUGAAGAAGGUUUUCGGAUCGUAAAGCUCUGUUGUAAGUCAAGAACGAGUGUGAGAGUGGAAAGUUCACACUGUGACGGUAGCUUACCAGAAAGGGACGGCUAACUACGUGCCAGCAGCCGCGGUAAUACGUAGGUCCCGAGCGUUGUCCGGAUUUAUUGGGCGUAAAGCGAGCGCAGGCGGUUUGAUAAGUCUGAAGUUAAAGGCUGUGGCUCAACCAUAGUUCGCUUUGGAAACUGUCAAACUUGAGUGCAGAAGGGGAGAGUGGAAUUCCAUGUGUAGCGGUGAAAUGCGUAGAUAUAUGGAGGAACACCGGUGGCGAAAGCGGCUCUCUGGUCUGUAACUGACGCUGAGGCUCGAAAGCGUGGGGAGCGAACAGGAUUAGAUACCCUGGUAGUCCACGCCGUAAACGAUGAGUGCUAGGUGUUGGAUCCUUUCCGGGAUUCAGUGCCGCAGCUAACGCAUUAAGCACUCCGCCUGGGGAGUACGACCGCAAGGUUGAAACUCAAAAGGAAUUGACGGGGGCCCGCACAAGCGGUGGAGCAUGUGGUUUAAUUCGAAGCAACGCGAAGAACCUUACCAGGUCUUGACAUCCCGAUGCUAUUUCUAGAGAUAGAAAGUUACUUCGGUACAUCGGUGACAGGUGGUGCAUGGUUGUCGUCAGCUCGUGUCGUGAGAUGUUGGGUUAAGUCCCGCAACGAGCGCAACCCCUAUUGUUAGUUGCCAUCAUUCAGUUGGGCACUCUAGCGAGACUGCCGGUAAUAAACCGGAGGAAGGUGGGGAUGACGUCAAAUCAUCAUGCCCCUUAUGACCUGGGCUACACACGUGCUACAAUGGUUGGUACAACGAGUUGCGAGUCGGUGACGGCAAGCUAAUCUCUUAAAGCCAAUCUCAGUUCGGAUUGUAGGCUGCAACUCGCCUACAUGAAGUCGGAAUCGCUAGUAAUCGCGGAUCAGCACGCCGCGGUGAAUACGUUCCCGGGCCUUGUACACACCGCCCGUCACACCACGAGAGUUUGUAACACCCGAAGUCGGUGAGGUAACCUUUUGGAGCCAGCCGCCUAAGGUGGGAUAGAUGAUUGGGGUG